CGGGUGAGUAAUGUCUGGGAAACUGCCUGAUGGAGGGGGAUAACUGCUGGAAACGGUAGCUAAUACCGCAUAACGUCGCAGGACCAAAGAGGGGACCUUCGGGCCUCUUGCCAUCGGAUGUGCCCAGAUGGGAUUAGCUAGUAGGUGGGGUAACGGCUCACCUAGGCGACGAUCCCUAGCUGGUCUGAGAGGAUGACCAGCCACACUGGAACUGAGACACGGUCCAG
rnacentral:rRNA from 1 species